rnacentral:rRNA from 1 species
GAUGAACGCUGGCGGCGUGCCUAAUACAUGCGAGUCGAGCGAACAGACGAGGAGCUUGCUCCUCUGACGUUAGCGGCGGACGGGUGAGUAACACGUGGAUAACCUACCUAUAAGACUGGGAUAACUUCGGGAAACCGGAGCUAAUACCGGAUAAUAUAUUGAACCGCAUGGUUCAAUAGUGAAAGACGGUUUUGCUGUCACUUAUAGAUGGAUCCGCGCCGCAUUAGCUAGUUGGUAAGGUAACGGCUUACCAAGGCGACGAUGCGUAGCCGACCUGAGAGGGUGAUCGGCCACACUGGAACUGAGACACGGUCCAGACUCCUACGGGAGGCAGCAGUAGGGAAUCUUCCGCAAUGGGCGAAAGCCUGACGGAGCAACGCCGCGUGAGUGAUGAAGGUCUUCGGAUCGUAAAACUCUGUUAUUAGGGAAGAACAAAUGUGUAAGUAACUAUGCACGUCUUGACGGUACCUAAUCAGAAAGCCACAGCUAACUACGUG